UGGUGGAGCGAUUUGUCUGGUUAAUUCCGAUAACGAACGAGACUCUAGCCUAUUAAAUAGUUCGCCGAUCAGUUACGUCGGCGUCAACUUCUUAGAGGGACAAGUGGCGUUUAGCCACGCGAGAUUGAGCAAUAACA
rnacentral:rRNA from 1 species